rnacentral:rRNA from 1 species
CAUGCAAGUCGAACGGAAAUCUUUUAGAUUUUAGUGGCGAACGGGUGAGUAACACGUAAGCAACCUGCCUUUAAGACGAGAAUAACAAUUGGAAACAGUUGCUAAGGCUGGAUAGGAAAUAAAAAGGAAUCUUUUUAUUUUUAAAAGACCUUUUUCGGAAGGUAUGCUUAAAGAGGGGCUUGCGUCACAUUAGUUAGUUGGUAGGGUAAAGGCCUACCAAGACGAUGAUGUGUAGCUGGACUGAGAGGUUGAACAGCCACAUUGGGACUGAGACACGGCCCAAACUCCUACGGGAGGCAGCAGUAGGGAAUUUUCGGCAAUGGAGGAAACUCUGACCGAGCAACGCCGCGUGAACGACGAAGUACUCCGGUAUGUAAAGUUCUUUUAUUGAAGAAGAAACAAUAGUGGAAAAACUAUCUUGACGUUAUUCAAUGAAUAAGCCCCGGCUAACUAUGUGCCAGCAGCCGCGGUAAUACAUAGGGGGCGAGCGUUAUCCGGAAUUAUUGGGCGUAAAGGGUGCGUAGGCGGUUUAAUAAGUCUCUAGUUUAAUUUCAACGCUUAACGUUGUCCUGCUAGAGAAACUGUUUAACUAGAGUGAGAUAGAGGUAAGCGGAAUUCCAUGUGUAGCGGUAAAAUGUGUAAAUAUAUGGAGGAACACCAGAGGCGUAGGCGGCUUACUGGGUCUUUACUGACGCUGAUGCACGAAAGCGUGGGGAGCAAACAGGAUUAGAUACCCUGGUAGUCCACGCCGUAAACUAUGAGUACUAAGUGUCGGGGUUAAACUCGGUACUGAAGUUAACACAUUAAGUACUCCGCCUGAGUAGUACGUACGCAAGUAUGAAACUUAAAGGAAUUGACGGGAUCCCGCACAAGCGGUGGAUCAUGUUGUUUAAUUCGAAGAUACACGAAAAACCUUACCAGGUCUUGACAUACUCUGUAAAGCUAUAGAAAUAUAGUGGAGGUUAUCAGGGAUACAGGUGGUGCAUGGUUGUCGUCAGCUCGUGUCGUGAGAUGUUAGGUUAAGUUCUAAAACGAGCGCAACCCCUGUCGUUAAUUGCCAGUACGUUAUGGUGGGGACUUUAGCGAGACUGCCAAUGAAAAAUUGGAGGAAGGUGGGGAUUACGUCAAAUCAUCAUGCCCCUUAUGAUCUGGGCUACAAACGUGAUACAAUGGCUAUUACAAAGAGUAGCUGAAACGCGAGUUUUCGGCAAAUCUCAAAAAAAUAGUCUCAGUUCGGAUUGAAGUCUGCAACUCGACUUCAUGAAGUUGGAAUCGCUAGUAAUCGCGAAUCAGCAUGUCGCGGUGAAUACGUUCUCGGGGUUUGUACACACCGCCCGUCAAACCACGAAAGUGGACAAUACCCGAAAGCGACAGCCUAAC